AUGUCCUACGGGAGGCAGCAGUGGGGGAUAUUGCACAAUGGGGGAAACCCUGAUGCAGCGACGCCGCGUGAGCGAUGAAGUAUUUCGGUAUGUAAAGCUCUCUCAGCAGGGAAGAAAAUGACGGUACCUGACUAAGAAGCCCCGGCUAACUACGUGCCAGCAGCCGCGGUAAUACGUAGGGGGCAAGCGUUAUCCGGAUUUACUGGGUGUAAAGGGAGCGUAGACGGCAGUGCAAGUCUGAAGUGAAAGCCAAGGCCUCAACCCUUGGACUGCUUUGGUAACUGUGC
rnacentral:rRNA from 1 species